rnacentral:tRNA from 1 species
UUGGUCUACUAUCGAUUCAGUACAACGAAACUACUGGAACAAGCCAAUUAUAAUAAAACAAAUGAUUAAGAUAGUUAAAAAUCUUUUUUUUUUGUGGGUCAUGUUAAAUAAUUUAAUUUCAUUUUCCAGAUCGUAGGGAUCAACACCGACCUGCCUUUAACCGCACCGGUCGCAUCAACAGAAACCUUCGACCCUGAAGCCAUCAAACCUAUCGACGUCAGCACACCCGUCACCAUCACCCCCAACAUCCCAUACACAUCCAACACCCCCCAGCCAACCGUAGAAAGGGACAGCAAGAGGUGUAUUCUCAUGUAAGUGUUUGUAUUAUACUACUUGUGAUUAAUUAUAUCAUAACUUGAGAUAACUGAUGCUGUGUUUGGUGCUUAUUUACUAAAUCUUUGCCGAGUGCUGGGAUAUAUUUUGCUCAAAACUGGAUUUUGCUAACAAUAUUCAAAAUAUUUUUACAUUAUAUAUGAAAGUAAAAUUAUCUUUCAAAAUAACCAGCAAAAAAUAAUGUUUUAUUAAAUAAAAUGAUUAAAUUUCUACUUUAUUAGUAAUGAAGGUACGAAUUUGACAAAUAUUUAGUUAAAUAUAAUGUUUGUCAACCAAUAUCAGCGUCAGUUUAGAUAUUAUUCACGAGUAGUAUAAUUUCAGAAUAUUUUAUGAAAUCGAACACGGGACUGGUCAUAGUACAAAUAUUGUACGUUAAUAUUGUCUCUGAGUGUUAAGAUUUGCAAGACGUUGUUUUACAUUAGAUUAGACGAUAAUGAAAUGUCUAGGUUGAUUCUAAAUAUAAGAAAUUUCUUUAGUAUCCGUUAGUUUCUUUAAAAGAAGCGUUAAAAUGGUAACAUAAUAUAUUUUUUAUCUGUGUUGAUAAAGUUUUUAAUCUAGGCGUUUCGAUAAUGUUCUUGAUCUGUUAAAUAUCCGAGCAAGGUGGCUACGGAUCAUUUGUAUCAUGAAGGUUAUUAAAAGAAAUUCAAAAGCGUUUACUUCAUAAUAUAAAUUUUAAAUUAAGAUCCUUAAUAUUAAUAAUUGACAAUAGUAAAAAAAAUAAAUAAAUAAGAAUCACCAAAGACACGUUCAAUUAUAUUUAAACAGGAUACUUGAGAGCGAACACACAGACAAAAAUAUUGUUACCAGUGUAUGUAAAACUUUUUUCAACUCGUUAAUUUAUACACGGCAUUCUAAUUUUCUAUGAUUUGAUUGGUCGAGGGGCGUGGCUAAGCUAAGUGUCAAAUAAAAUGGUUCUUAUGUAAAUAAUUUUACGUUAUAUCUUAAAAACUAGCUGACUCUGCAAUCGUUUUACCGCUAAACUCAUCUCAAAUCUUAAUAAAAUAAAAAUGGAAAUUUAGUCAUAAAUUAUUAUUUUUUUUUUUUGGUGUGGACUCGUAUAAUUUAGGGGUUUAAAAAAUAGUUGACGACCGAUUCUCAGACCUACCAAAUAUGCAGAAAGAUGUUUAUAAGAAUCGGUCAAGUCGUUUCGGAGGAGUUGGACCCCUAACACUGUGACAAGAGAAUUUUAUAUAUUUACAUUAGUAAAUAGAUUUGUAUCAGAAACGCAAGCGCUUUUUUCAUAUGAUAUAAAGCUUUUCAUUUCACGGGAUUUACUGAGAAUUACAUUUUGAAACUUUCAUUAAAUAUUGAUAUAACAAAAUUUCAUUAUUUAUAUUACGAAGUAAACGCAAUUGUCUCUAAAUCGAUAUUCUUUGUAAAAUUGAGCAAUCAAAGUGUGAAAAAUUAUGCAUAUUUACUAGUAUUGAUAAUAUAUUAUUUACAGUCUGUAUUACUCGUUACUAUGUGUUUAUGUGUAUCAUGUGCUAUUAAAUUGAACCACAUACACUAUUUACCAUCUACAAACUAUGUACAAGACAUCGGUGAAAUGGAAGAAGUACUUUAGCCAGGAGAUAGGCUUACAAUUGAACUUAGGAUCGGAUUCAGUGUGGAUAAUGUUUAUCCAGCACAUAAGUUACGAAUAGUCUUUAACGGCAGGAGAUAGAAUAAGCGAGUAGGACGUGUUUCUCCUCAAUUAACAAAAAACAACUUUUAAUCUCAUAGAUAUAGUUGAAUUCUAUGGUAAAAAAGAAUAUAUCAUAAAAUUUUAUCUGUUGGAUACCAUCAUCCGUCAAAUAGCAUUAUCCACAAACGUUGAAACAGACACUAAUUACGGCUUCUGUUUGUAAAUGGUACCUAUGGUGUGUUGGUUUCAAUUAAUUCCUCGCUUGUAUUCUGUAUAUAUUAUUUCAUAGAUUACUUGUUGAUAAUUGAUAUUUAAAAAAAAAACAUAUAAAUUGUGAAAUGAACACAAUGAAUUACUAGAUUGAUGAGAAAUUGAGCAAAGUUAUAAUACAUUUGUAAUAUAGCUAAAUGAUCAUGUGUGUUUUAUAUGUUCAAUCAUUAUUUCCUUAUAAAUAAAUACUUUUUGAAGCAAUUUCAUAUAAAAAAAAGUUAAUAAUAAUCCUAGGCGCUGUGUUUUGUUUAUUCAACCAUUAUUUAUCUGUUUAUACUUUAAAACAUAUAUUUUGUUUAGAAAAAAAUCACAAUAAUGAUAUUUUUUACUUACAUAUUGUAUGUACAUAGUAACGAGUAAUACAUGCAAAUAUGAAAUGUGUUCAGAGAACGUUAUAUGCGAGAGUAGUCGUUAUGUACCGAGCGAGGUACUGUGUUUUAAACUCGGACUUAAAAAAGUUUUAUCACGUGACUUGUAGAUAUCGAGGACUUGUCAUUUAUUGAUGGUUUUAUAAUUAUGGAGUAAUCUUUAUUUCUUGAGUUACAAUCGGUAUUAAGCAGAUGCAAACUCGUGCAACACUUAUGUGUUAAUUCUUAUUUUAGGCUGAAUUUGAUCACGGUGUAAUUAUUGAAAGCUAAAUGAUUUUAAUUAUAGGAUUGCGAUAAAUUUGUAAAAAAAAAAUUAACUAACACUAAAAUUAAUUUUUCAAUAAGUUUAAUAGUUGGUGUGUGAAAGAGUAACAAACAUCAUUGCCAACUAGUAUUAGUAGUAUUUAUACGAGUGAAGACGUCUUUUUAAAACUGAUUGCUAAAUGCGAAAUUUCUUAUCAGUAUGAAUAAAUAUUCAAAAUAAAAUUCCUUACAUUUUUGAAUAUCACAUCAAAAAUCGACCGCUCCAGCGGGGAUCGAACCCGCGUCUCCGACUGACCGUGUCGGUGCUCUAGCCAAUUAAGCUAUGGAACGAUGUAUGUGAUGAGACGCUCAAAAAUGUUUAGAAUUUCUAAUGUGUGGGUAACACAAAAAUAAAAUCGUACAUAUUAUAAAAUUCCUUAAUAAAUAACAAGUCCAUUUUGAUUUAAGUCGUUUUUAAGAUCGGAUCAACGUUUCUUUUUUUCUUCCAUUAAGUUUUCAAAUGAAAUGAAAACAAGAUUCGAUUUUAAAAAAUAUAUUAAAAUAAGUUAGUCAAUAAGUUUUAUUCUAUAACGUUUUGUUAGUGAUGUGCGGUCCAUUUUGUUAGUUAAUACGAAAUGGUUUUGAAGAAAACGGCAAUAGUGUAAUAUAACUUGCAUUUCGAAAUAUAAAAUUAAAAAUAUUAUGCUUUUUUUAUUUUGUGUUAUUUUAUAGUUCAAUAAUAUAUCGACCAAAAAUAAUUAAGCUUUUUUACGUUUGUAUUUUUGUAAUAUUUCGAGUAACUUGAUCGCUCUGAACUUAUUGAGUAAAAUCAGGAAUUCCCAAAACUUGUCAAAGUUGAAUUUUUCAUAAUAUCUAUGACAAUAUUUGAAAGUAAUAAAGGCAAUUUUUUUAAUGGUACAAACUUAAAAUUAUGUUUAAGUAAUUUACUUUAUCUUAAUCUUGGUUUCAAAGGUAUUUAAUUGGUUCCAACAUUCAUAAGCGUAUAACAAUUUAGUUAAAAAAAUGUUUUAAUUACUUUUGAAAAUAAACGUUUGAAAUUAAGAGCGAUAAAGUCGUAAUAACUUGUUGUAAUAUGUAACAGAAAUAAUUAACAUUGAACUGUUUUCUUUACAAUAAAAUCAUGACAAUAGAUUAAAACCACCGAUGAGACGCCAUGUUGUCAAAUUUUGCUAAUCACGCCAUAAUUAGAAUUACAGAUAAGUAAUAUUUUCAACCUUUUUUUUAUAUUUUUUCUUUUUUUGUGUCGAAGAGGGUAAUUAAAAAACUUAGCAGUUUGAUGAAUUUGUUUUUUUUUUCUUAUUUCUCGUCUCGAUUUUUUUAGAUGAUAAAUCAAUGCCUUAUUAAUGAAUUCUUUGUUCUAAAUAAAUAUGAUUUAAUAUAAUUAAAAGUUUUUAUAAAUAUCAAAAAAUCCAUUUUUUGUAUAAAUAAAUCCUGUCACAAAAUUUCCUAUGCUCUAUUUUCUAAGAAAUCAAAUAAAAGCGAAUAAUUAAGAAAUGCAAAUAAAUCUACAAUAUUCUUAAUUCGCUUCAAAAAUGAACAUAAUAUCAAAAAGUUUGACACAGUCUGCCUUUGUAGUAAUUAAUUAGACGCGCUAGUAAAAUACAGCAAUUAGUUAAAUAAAUGGUAAAAGAAAUGUUUUUUUUUUUUAAAUCUGUACCGUAACAACAAAAAUUACUAAUUUUACAUAAUACUGUAAUGGUUCAGAAAAAAAAAAACCAUAAAAUGACUUAAAUAAAUCGUUAAUCUCAACUAUAUAUACUAUAUAACAUUUUUUUAUUGUACGUAACAUUUAUUACUGCAUAUUGGCCAGACUUAUGUACGCUAUUAUAUGGUUUAAUUGAUACCGUGUUAAUACUUUGAAUUUUUUGGUUUUUGCCAAUAAACAGAUGUAUAUAAGCGAGUGAUAUUAAAUCGCAUACACUACAUUACAUUUAUAAGCUAUAGACAUGUCAGUCAAACAGUAGCAGUAUUGACACGAGACAAGUUGACAGCUGAACUUGAACUACUCCAUAUAUUUGACUGUAUAUAGCUUAGAAAAGGCAUGUAGAGGUAUUUGGUUCAAAUUCUUGCCUUAUGUAUACAUCUAUGUAUGUGGUAGACUUUUCAUUAUAUGCAAUAAUUAUGUAAGUAGCUAUUACAUGAUGCUUCAAUUAAUUUAUUUUUAAAAUGGAUUAGUGAAGAUUUAUAGAUACUAUUUCAUUAUUAUUUUUUUUCGUUUAUUCUAGACGUUUGAAAUAUUUAAGUAUCGUCCAUUUGUUUCUUAAUCGGAAAAAAGAUAUUUGAGUUAUUUUUUUUAAUGUAAUUAGAAUGUAAUGUAGCGUAAUGGAAUUUUUAUUAUUAUAGUAAUAUAGAAUUGAUAACUUUUGUUAAUAAAUCAUUGAAAUCGAU